CCAUGAACAACGCAAAAAAACCAACAUUCUACUAAAAGCGUUCCUACAAAGGAAGGGAUCUAAAAAGAUUUUGUUCCCAUGAGGUAUGGAAAUCGUCAUAUAGAAUGGAGAUCGGAAUAUUUUCGUUGGUCUUGGGUGCAGUGCCAUUCCUGAUCUUUCAUGAAUGGGAUUGCAAUGAUCGACGGGACAU
rnacentral:sRNA from 1 species